UUAAAUGAGUGGAAGAUGAGUACCAUCUGAUUAAAAACCUGCAAAAAAGAUAGAUUAGUAAGAAAGACAUGAGACAAAACUGAAAAAUUCAUAUAAAGUUUGGUGUUUUCAAGUCAAAGAGAUUAGAGUGGGUUUGGAGAGUUUUAGUUUGGAAAAAAAGUAAGAACUUUAUACAACAAGAAGUUACCAAAUGAAGAAAAAUCAGACAUAAAAACUUACCAAAACGCUCAGAUCAAUUAUGAAAGGGAGACAUGGGAGAAGACUCCGUCAGAAGACUUCCCGGAAGUCGUCUGGAAGACUUCCCGGAAGUCGUCUGGAAGACUUCCCGGAAGUCGUCUGGAAGACUUCCCGGAAGUCGUCUGGAAGACUUCCCGGAAGUCGUCUGGAAGACUUCCCGGAAGUCGUCUGGAAGACUUCCCGGAAGUCGUCUGGAAGACUUCCCGGAAGUCGUCUGGAAGACUUCCCGGAAGUCGUCUGGAAGACUUCCCGGAAGUCGUCUGGAAGACUUCCCGGAAGUCGUCUGGAAGACUUCACGGAAGUCGUCUGGAAGACUUCACGGAAGUCGUCUAGAAGUCUUCUAAUCCAGAAGUCGUCUAGAAGUCUUCUAAUCCAGAAGUCUUCCAAAUCUGAAAAACCUACAUAUCCAAAAACGUUUAAAUGACUUAAAAGCAGAGAAAAUGAGUGGAAGAUUAGAUAGAUCUACCUUUAUAGAACACACAAAAAUACAUAUCUAAAAUUAAUAGAUCUACCUUUAAAUGAGUGGAAGAUGAGAACCAUGUGAUGAAAAACUUGUAAAAACAAGAUAAAUUAAUGAGAAAGACAUGAGACAAAAAUAAUAAAUU